AGCGAACGCUGGCGGCAGGCCUAACACAUGCAAGUCGAGCGGCCGUAGCAAUACGGCAGCGGCAGACGGGAGAGUAACACGUGGGAACGUGCCCUUUGGUUCGGAAUAACGCAGGGAAACUUGCGCUAAUACCGAAUAAGCCCUUACGGGGAAAGAUUUAUCGCCAUUGGAGCGGCCCGCGUCUGAUUAGCUAGUUGGUGGGGUAACGGCUCACCAAGGCGACGAUCAGUAGCNGGUCUGAGAGGAUGAUCAGCCUCACUGGGACUGAGACACGGCCCAGACUCCUACGGGAGGCAGCAGUGGGGAAUAUUGGACAAUGGGCGCAAGCCUGAUCCAGCCAUGCCGCGUGGAUGAUGAAGGCCUUAGGGUU
rnacentral:rRNA from 1 species